rnacentral:rRNA from 1 species
GGAUUAGGCAUGCAAGUCGAGCGAGGACAGGUUGUGUAGCAAUACAUGGCCUGAGCCGAGCGGCGAAAGGGUGAGUAACACAUAGACGACCUGCCCCCGAGACCGGGAUAAUUUCCCCAACGGGAUUGUAAUACCGGAUACGAAUCGCUGGUUUCGGCCGGCGAUUGAAAGAUGGGGACCCGCAGGGGCCUGUCACUCAAGGAGGGGUCUAUGUCCUAUUAGCUAGUUGGCGGGGUAAUGGCCCACCAAGGCGACGAUGGGUAGCCGGUCUGAGAGGAUGGUCGGCCACAUUGGGACUGAGACACUGCCCAGACUCCUACGGGAGGCUGCAGUCGAGGAUCUUCGGCAAUGGGCGCAAGCUUGACCGAGCGACGCCGCGUGUGGGAUGAAGGCCUUCGGGUCGUAAACCACUGUUAAGGGGACUGAAGGGUGCGGGUACGAAUACUACCCGCGCCAUCUGACAGGACCCUAGAGGAAGCACUGGCUAACUCCGUGCCAGCAGCCGCGGUAAUACGGAGGGUGCGAACGUUGUUCGGAUUCAUUGGGCUUAAAGGGCACGUAGGCGGUCGGCUUAGUCGGAUGUGAAAUCCCUCGGCUUAACCGAGGAACGGCAUCCGAAACUGGCCGGCUUGAGCGAAGAAGGGGAGAGCGGAACUUCUGGUGUAGCGGUGAAAUGCGUAGAUAUCAGAAGGAACGCCGGUGGCGAAAGCGGCUCUCUGGUCUUCUGCUGACGCUGAUGUGCGAAAGCCAGGGGAGCAAACGGGAUUAGAUACCCCGGUAGUCCUGGCUGUAAACGAUGGGCACUAAGUAGAGGGGUUUU